rnacentral:sRNA from 1 species
UGCCGGGGACUCUAGGGAGACUGCCGGUGACAAACCGGAGGAAGGUGGGGAUGAUGUCAAGUCAUCAUGCCCCUUAUGUCCUGGGCUACACACGUGCUACAUUGGCCGGUACAAAGGGCUGCAAACCCGUGAGGGGGAGCGAAUCCCAAAAAGCCGGUCCCGGUUCGGAUUGGAGGCUGAAACCCGCCUCCAUGAAGGCGGAGUUGCUAGUAAUCGCGGAUCAGCAACGCCGCGGUGAAUACGUUCUCGGGCCUUGUACACACCGCCCGUCACACCACGAAAGCCGGCAACACCCGAAGCCGGUGUCCUAACCCGCAAGGGAGGGAGCCGUCGAAGGUGGGGUUGGUGAUUGGGGUGAAGUCGAACAAGGUAGCCGUAGCGGAAGCUGCGGCUGGAUCACCUCCUUUCUAG